UGGGGGAUAUUGCACAAUGGGCGAAAGCCUGAUGCAGCGACGCCGCGUGGGGGAUGAAGGCCUUCGGGUUGUACACUUCUUUUGCUCUGAACAAGGCAUGCCUUUGGGGUGUGUUGAGUGUAGGGGUUGAUUAGCGCCGGCUAACUACGUGCCAGCAGCCGCGGUAAUACGUAGGGCGCGAGCGUUGUCCGGAAUUAUUGGGCGUAAAGGGCUUGUAGGUGGCUGGUUGCGUCUGUCGUGAAAGCUCAUGGCUUAACUGUGGGUUUGCGGUGGGUACGGGCUGGCUUGAGUGCAGUAGGGGAGGCUGGAAUUCAUGGUGUGGCGGUGGAAUGCGCAGAUAUCAGGAGGAAUACCGGUGGCGAAGGAGAGUCUCUGGACUGAUACUGACGCUGAGGAGCGAAAGCGUGGGGAGCGAACAGG
rnacentral:rRNA from 1 species